AAAGGAAUUGACGGGGGACCGCACAAGCGGUGGAGCAUGUGGUUUAAUUCGAUACAAAGCGAAAAACCUUACCUGGGUUUGAAAUGUACCUGCAAAUCCUACGAAAGUAGGACUUCUUCGAGAGUGGUACACAGAUGCUGCAUGGUUGUCGUCAGCUUGUACCGUGAGGCGCACCCUUAAGUGGGUCAACAAGCGCAACCCGCAUCGUGUGUUAAAUAUUCACACGAAACUGCCUCAUUUACUGGGGAGGAAGGAGCGGAUGAUGUCAAAUCAGCACGGCUCUUACAUCCAGGGCUACACACAUCCUACAAUGGCGAAUAACAACGAGCUGCAACCGGGUAACCGGAAGCCAAUCUCUGAAAUUUCGCCUCAGUUCAGAUUGAGGGCUGCAAUUUGCCCUCAUGAAGUCGAAAUCGCUAGUAAUCGCGGAUCAGCAGGCCGCGGUGAAUACGUUCUCGGUCCUUGUACACACCGCCCGU
rnacentral:rRNA from 1 species